rnacentral:pre_miRNA from 11 species
UUUUAAUAUUUUUAAAUGUCAAAAAAAUUGGAAAAAAGUUUGGAGUGAAAGACCCCCAGCAUGGGGAGACUCUCACUCAAGUCUUGGGAUAAGCCGAUGCCCCAAUAAUUCAAGAGAGAUC